ACUCUUGACCCCGGUACCCAUAAUGUGUGGAACUCGUGAUCAGAGAAUCCUGAUUCUCGAUCACUGAGUCUCAAACAUGUAGGAUUCUACAUCAGCCAUCUGAUCAGAUAGGAACCUCUAAUGUGUGUGACCCCGUAGGUUCGAACUUAAGCCGAUAGCACAGGAAUCAAUUCCUGUACUAAUCGAAGUGACCAUCUAGCAAUGGUACCCGACGUCCAGAU
rnacentral:lncRNA from 1 species